rnacentral:rRNA from 1 species
GACGAACGCUGGCGGCGUGCUUAACACAUGCAAGUCGAACGCUGAAGCUCAGCUUUUGUUGGGUGGAUGAGUGGCGAACGGGUGAGUAACACGUGAGUAACCUGCCUCCUUCUUUGGGAUAACGCCCGGAAACGGGUGCUAAUACUGGAUAUUCACUGGUCUUCGCAUGGGGGUUGGUGGAAAGGGUUUUUCUGGUGGGGGAUGGGCUCGCGGCCUAUCAGCUUGUUGGUGGGGUGAUGGCCUACCAAGGCUUUGACGGGUGGCCGGACUGGGAGGGUGACCGGUAACAUUGGGACUGAGAUACGGCCCAGACUCCGACGGGAGGCAGCAGUGGGGAAUAUUGCGCAAUGGGCGCAAGCCUGAUGCAGCGACGCCGCGUGAGGGGUGGCGUCCUGCGGGUUGGGAACCUCUUUCGCUCAUGGUCAAGCCGCAACAAUGGUUGUGGUGAGGGUAGUGGGUAAAGAAGCGCCGGCUAACUACGUG